GCAGAAAUGAGCCAUAUUUUUCAGGCCUGUCACGCCGGAGGUCGCGGGUUCAAGUCCCGUCUCUCGCGCCA
rnacentral:tRNA from 1 species